UACGGGAGGCAGCAGUGGGGAAUAUUGCACAAUGGGCGCAAGCCUGAUGCAGCCAUGCCGCGUGUAUGAAGAAGGCCUUCGGGUUGUAAAGUACUUUCAGCAGUGAGGAAGGUGGAUAUGUUAAUAGCAUAUUCAUUUGACGUUAGCUGCAGAAGAAGCACCGGCUAACUCCGUGCCAGCAGCCGCGGUAAUACGGAGGGUGCGAGCGUUAAUCGGAAUUACUGGGCGUAAAGCGCAUGCAGGUGGUUUGUUAAGUCAGAUGUGAAAGCCCGGGGCUCAACCUCGGAAUUGCAUUUGAAACUGGCAAACUAGAGUACUGUAGAGGGGGUAGAAUUUCAGGUGUAGCGGUGAAAUGCGUAGAGAUCUGAAGGAAUACCGGUGGCGAAGGCGGCCCCCUGGACAGAUACUGACACUCAGAUGCGAAAGCGUGGGGAGCAAACAGGAUUAGAUACCCUGCAG
rnacentral:rRNA from 1 species